rnacentral:rRNA from 1 species
CAGUAGCCGCGGGAAUACGUAGGGUGCGAGCGUUAAUCGGAAUUACUGGGCGUAAAGCGUGCGCAGGCGGUUGUGUAAGACAGGUGUGAAAUCCCCGGGCUUAACCUGGGAACUGCGCUUGUGACUGCACAGCUAGAGUAUGGCAGAGGGGGGUGGAAUUCCACGUGUAGCAGUGAAAUGCGUAGAGAUGUGGAGGAACACCGAUGGCGAAGGCAGCCCCCUGGGCCAAUACCGACGCUCAUGCACGAAAGCGUGGGGAGCAAACGGGAUUAGAUACCCCUGUAGUCCCUGUCUCUUAUAC